rnacentral:rRNA from 1 species
UACGGGGGGGGCAAGCGUUGUUCGGAAUUACUGGGCGUAAAGGGCUCGUAGGCGGCCAACUAAGUCGGAUGUGAAAUCCCCAGGCUCAACCUGGGAACUGCAUCCGAUACUGGAUGGCUUGAAUUCGGGAGAGGGAUGCAGAAUUCCAGGUGUAGCGGUGAAAUGCGUAGAUAUCUGGAGGAAUACCGGUGGCGAAGGCGGCAUCCUGGACCAUUACUAACGCUGAGGCGCGAAAGCUAGGGGAGCAAACGGG